UUGCAAACCCCUUGAGCUCCUUCAGUCCUUGGCAUUUUCUAACACCGUUCUAGCACUGACAUCUUCCCACUUCCCAACAGAAGGCCACGCCCACAAGCCCAGUUCUCUGGCUCACACAAGUUGCACAAAUUCCAGUUUUGGAAGACCCAUCGCUGUGAUUUAUGGUGUGAUCGUCUGAGAUUCUGUCCGUCAGUUGGUAUCAUACUUUUCUGAGUGACUGAACACCCAUUUAAAGAGUCCUUGCCUGUGCCUGCAUUUCGAAGCAUUUCUCCCACACAUCCCUACUUUCCGGAGUAUUUUGGGCCUUAUAUUAGGUCUUUGAUCCAUCUGGAGCUGAUUUUGUACAGGAUCUUAACCAUGUUCCUCCGAGGAGACUAAAGCAGGGACCACUUGGGACGAUGACUUAGGAGGCUGCAUUCUGUGUCUUCAGGAAGAGGCUGUGAGACCAAGAAGAGCCACCCUCCUGUGCAUGGGCCUCCCUCAUGUAUCUAAGGAUCCAUUGCUCAGCUUUAGGAAGCCCACGCAUGAUGAGUGAGUCUAUCUCUAUCCACAUGGCUCCUGUUACAAUGAGAAGAUACCAAAGAUCCAGGAGAAAGCAGUGGAUAGGCUCCUCUGAAGGACAGGGAGAAUGGAGGCAUUGCUUUGCCUAAGAAUGGUGCUGCAGGGGCUUGCAUCUGGCCUCUCUCCUCAACUCCCAUGAACUGCCCAAGGGUAUGGUUUGUAGGGAAAAUAUUAAACUGAGCACCCCCAAGAGAAAAUGAAG